rnacentral:lncRNA from 1 species
GAUUUUAAAAUUUAUAAAAAUAAACUUCCAUAAGAUGCCAUAUUCGCAUGGCUUAUAUACAAUAGUCAAAAUAUCAUUCUACUUAUAGUUUAUCUUAUACAUGCCAUAAGCUAAGUCCAAAUCACAUGAUUACUACAAUAGUAGAUAGCGUGACGAAGUACUGACGAUCCCCGAGCUAAUAGAAACGAUCUACAAAAAUAAACAGAGAAACAUAACAUUCAAAGUAAGCUUUCAUAAGCUUAGUAAGUCUUAAGCAAUUUAAACAGUUGAACUUAAAAACAAACCAAAUGUUCGAAAUCACAUAAAACUUUCUGAGUACAAUACUAUUUGGCUGAUUAUGCAUAAACACAUAUCAUUUUACUCCGUUUAUACUCAAACUCAUAUAAACAUAGUAUUUACAAGCUUCCGAAUUAACUUUAAUUCUUUCAAAUUUCACUAGUGUAUCAUUUCUUACCCACACUUACUUUCAAAAUUCAUAGUUAAAUGGCAUAUCGAAAACUAUCUUGUAACUUUGCAUAAUAACUGAAUACACACAUAUACAAAUAUACAUAUGAAUUUACAACAUCUUUUCAUAUGUUACUCAUUACACAUUCUUAAUUCCCGUCAGAUCAAUCUCACAUAUAAUAUAUAUAUCACAUACCUGAAUCACUUAAUGUGUAAUACGAGUUCAAUUUAUCAUCAUAGCGUAGGAUCUCGUAGUCAUAUACUUUAUCAAAUUCACUAACACUUGGCCUGCGAGGUAUAAAACUCGAACAUAACACCAGCACGAAGCCUACGGGAUUUACCCCGGAUACACAUCAAAUAUCAUGCAUAUUUAAUCAUAUAUUAACACAUCUCAUUCAACAUAUCACAUUAGUAGUCAUUUGCUACAAUCGGAUAUAAGCUUCAUAUGAACACCAUCAUUUACAUUUCGGUUCAAAAGUCAUACAUAAAUAUCACAUAUCCAUUUCACCAUUCAAACUUAACCCAUAGUGACCAUUCGACUAAAAGUCAUAUACAUAAAUUAUUUAUCACACAACUUAAUUCAAGUAGAACCAAAAGGUCGCAAUUCAUCUUGUCGUAACCAUUUUUUUUGAAAAAACGGGAAUCGACUUAGAUUUUUGGAAAUGAAAACGAAUAGAGGAGUCGCCACCAAUCUUUUUUGAUGAGGUGUGAUCGGAUCACCUUAAAUUAAUCAUUUUAAUAAAAGUUAAGAUUUACUAAAAUGAUAAUUUUUGGUCUACAAAAAUCAGAAAAUGAGUUCGGGAGUCGGUUACGCACAAGGAAGGAUUAGCACCCUCGAUACGCCCAAAAUUGGUACCUAGUUGAUUAAUUAGUGUCUUAGUGUCGAAAAUUUGAAAACUUGAAAGAAUUUAAAAUACGAUCCCUCUUUGUAAAGAAAAUGCUCAAAUGUUAAAGACCUUCUCGUCUCACAAUAUAAAAUGUCACAUCCAGUAAGUUAGGACACGACAUCUUGAAUUUUCGAGAGCAAGCUUGCCUUUUAUAUAAAAAUUCGUGUAUUUCAAAAGGUUAUUCAGUUAGUUAAGGUGAACGAGGAAAAUCGAAACCCAGUAAGUUAGGGCACGUUUCCUCGAAUUCCCGAACACCGAAUAUUGCCUUUACUUGUAAAAAUCUUAUUUCGAGGUAACAAAAUGUCAUACCCGGUAAGUUAGGGCACAACACCUCGUAUCUCUGAGAAUAAGCAUUUUUCAAAACUCAUGUCGCGAUUUAAAAGAGUAUUCCGUUAUUUAGGUUAAAGGAGAAAAAUCGAAACCCAGUAAGUUAGGGCACGAUUGUCUCGAAUUACCAAAUACGGAAUAUUACUUUUAUGAAAGAAU